GCUCAGAACGAACGCUGGCGGCAGGCUUAACACAUGCAAGUCGAGCGCCUCGCAAGAGGAGCGGCAGACGGGUGAGUAACGCGUGGGAAUCUACCCAUCUCUACGGAACAACUCCGGGAAACUGGAGCUAAUACCGUAUACGUCCUUCGGGAGAAAGAUUUAUCGGAGAUGGAUGAGCCCGCGUUGGAUUAGCUAGUUGGUGGGGUAAUGGCCUACCAAGGCGACGAUCCAUAGCUGGUCUGAGAGGAUGAUCAGCCACAUUGGGACUGAGACACGGCCCAAACUCCUACGGGAGGCAGCAGUGGGGAAUAUUGGACAAUGGGCGAAAGCCUGAUCCAGCCWUGCCGCGUGAGUGAUGAAGGCCCUAGGGUUGUAAAGCUCUUUCAACGGUGAAGAUAAUGAC
rnacentral:rRNA from 1 species